AACUACUUACUUCCACCUGUGUAGCUGGCGAUGUAGGAGCACGGUUACUGCUGUUGUUGCUGCUCACCUUCUUCUGCCCAACCCUUUGCUAAUGCCGCAAGUCCCGAGCUAGACCUGGCGGAUGCUCAGCGGCUCAGGAGCUUGUUUAGCCGCUGUUGGCAGUGUUGCCGCCACCCGUUGCCGGCUGGUAGUUGCAGAGCAGAAGGCUCUCGGGGCUGAUUCGCCUGCUGCUACAUGACGUAGAUCUACACGGCGAAGUCCACGGCGAUAGUAACGGCUGUCAUUACUGGACACGACUCGUUUGCAAUGAAGCGUCCAUGUCUUUGCUCAGAUUGACAGUUUGCAGCCGUUUACUGACCCGGCUCAGUUCAAAUAGAUGAUGUCCUUCAUUUCUCCUGAGAGCCGGUGCUGUGCCAUUCAUUCCCAAUCACGAAGCCACUGUGUUUAACGACAUUGGAUAGUUUGGGCUACAAGUGCCAAGUCGCAAGCCAUGCCCUUCAGCAAGACCGAGUGUGCUGACAGUGCUGUCACCGGGAUUCCAGCAUGUUGGCGGAGUGGAGGCUUGACGGGCCUUGUCAUAUGGUCCAGAUGCAGUCGUGAAUUUGGUCAAAUCAGUCGGCAGGAAGCGUGCGUGUUGUUCUAUUACCAUGAUUAUGUAACACAGUGCAUAUUGCAUAUUUGGGCAUGCCUCAUUCAUUGUACCUUGUAUGGAGGGAUGCCAGUGGUUUGGGAACAGUAGAUCGUGUAGUUUAGGCUCGAGCCACC